CGACAUCGACUUGUGCCGACUUUGAUCGACAGGCUCGUGCUGACUUUGAUCGACAUCGACCCGAGCCGGCUCCACUCGACAUCAAACUAAGUCGACAUCGGCCGAUAUAAACCCGGAUCAAAUUCGCUCAACUUCAGCCCCUUCUGACUCUGCUCGACAUCGGCCUGGGCCAAGACUGGUUGACUUUGGCCCGGGCUGACUCGCUCGACAUCGG
rnacentral:lncRNA from 1 species